UACGAAGGGUGCAAGCGUUACUCGGAAUUACUGGGCGUAAAGCGUGCGUAGGUGGUUUGUUAAGUCUGAUGUGAAAGCCCUGGGCUCAACCUGGGAACUGCAUUGGAAACUGGCUUACUAGAGUGCGGUAGAGGGGUGUGGAAUUCCCGGUGUAGCAGUGAAAUGCGUAGAUAUCGGGAGGAACACCAGUGGCGAAGGCGACUACCUGGCCUGUUCUUGACGCUGAGGCGCGAAAGCUAGGGGAGCAAACGGG
rnacentral:rRNA from 1 species